AUUGAACGCUGGCGGCAGGCCUAACACAUGCAAGUCGAACGGUAACAGGAAGAAGCUUGCUUCUUUGCUGACGAGUGGCGGACGGGUGAGUAAUGUCUGGGAAACUGCCUGAUGGAGGGGGAUAACUACUGGAAACGGUAGCUAAUACCGCAUAACGUCGCAAGACCAAAGAGGGGGACCUUCGGGCCUCUUGCCAUCGGAUGUGCCCAGAUGGGAUUAGCUAGUAGGUGGGGUAACGGCUCACCUAGGCGACGAUCCCUAGCUGGUCUGAGAGGAUGACCAGCCACACUGGAACUGAGACACGGUCCAGACUCCUACGGGAGGCAGCAGUGGGGAAUAUUGCACAAUGUGCGCAAGCCUGAUGCAGCCAUGCCGCGUGUAUGAAGAAGGCCUUCGGGUUGUAAAGUACUUUCAGCGGGGAGGAAGGGAGUAAAGUUAAUACCUUUGCUCAUUGACGUUACCCGCAGAAGAAGCACCGGCUAACUCCGUG
rnacentral:rRNA from 1 species